rnacentral:rRNA from 1 species
UACGGAGGGUGCAAGCGUUGCUCGGAAUUAUUGGGCGUAAAGGGUAGGUAGGUGGUCUCAUUUGUCUGGGGUGAAAGCCUUGGGCUUAACUCAAGAAGUGCCUCAGAAACGGUGAGACUAGAGUCCUGGAGAGGGUCGUGGAAUUCCCGGUGUAGCGGUGAAAUGCGUAGAGAUCGGGAGGAACACCAGAGGCGAAGGCGGCGACCUGGACAGGCACUGACACUCAACUACGAAAGCGUGGGGAGCAAACAGG